GUAACAGAAGCAGUAUCUCUAGGUGACCUGCGGCAUAUCAAUAAUCGGAGGAAUCCGUAGGUGAACCUGCGGCAUAUUAUUAACCGGAGGAAUUCCUAUGUCUUCCUGACAUCCUACACUGGGGAUCAGAAUGCUCAUGGAUCGAUGAAGACCGCAGCUAACUGCGUGUUGUCGUGUGAUCUGCGGGACACGUGAACAUCGACAAGUUGAACACAUAUCGCACUUCUUGUUUUUUAUUCUUUUUAUUUAGGAUGGCUUGGUGGCAUAUUGUUGAAUGCUAUAAUUUAUCAAUCGCUCUGUUCUUUUAACGCUCAAUGCUCCACGGGUCUCUGUGUGCUGCAUGUCAUAAAAUCUAUAUCACUUCUUUGAUGUAUUCAAGAACCGAGUUACCCCCAGUCCCUCCCGUACAGUCAACAGAGCGGCAAAGUGGCCCCCAGGCAUCCGCGUGUACCGGCCUCGAGGGUUAAGGGGGAGGGUUGUCGAUGGUAUUCCCUCCCGCGGUUCCCAGCGCCGGUCUCCCUAAAAACUCGCGCUCACCUGAACCCAAGAGAGACCCCGACGAACGCACGCAAUCACCCUCAGCUUAAACCAGUUAUUGAAACCAAGGCAGCGCACUCUUUCAGCUGAGCUUCGAGUCGACAAUGAUCCAUCACAGAA
rnacentral:rRNA from 1 species